UCCGGUUUGUCACCGGCAGUAUCCCUAGAGUGCCCUUGCGUAGCAACUAAGGAAAAGGGUUGCGCUCGUUGCGGGACUUAACCCAACAUCUCACGACACGAGCUGACGACAGCCAUGCAGCACCUGUGUCCAGGUUCCCUUUCGGGCACCAAUCCAUCUCUGGAAAGUUCCUGGCAUGUCAAGCGUAGGUAAGGUUUUUCGCGUUGCAUCGAAUUAAUCCACAUCAUCCACCGCUUGUGCGGGUCCCCGUCAAUUCCUUUGAGUUUUAACCUUGCGGCCGUACUCCCCAGGCGGUCAACUUCACGCGUUAGCUGCGUUACCAAGGAAAUGAAUCCCCGACAACUAGUUGACAUCGUUUAGGGCGUGGACUAC
rnacentral:misc_RNA from 1 species